rnacentral:rRNA from 1 species
GACGAACGCUGGCGGCGUGCUUAACACAUGCAAGUCGAACGGAAAGGUCCUGCGUGCAGGGUACUCGAGUUGCGAACGGGUGGGUAACACGCGGGUGAUCUGCCCUGCACUUCGGGAUAAGCCUGGGCAACUGGGUCUAAUACCUGACAGGAGCCAUUUUGAGUCGGAUGGUUGGAAAGUUAUUUGGGUGUUGGAUGAGCUCGCGGCGUAUCAGCUUGCUGGUUGGGUAAUGUCCUACCAAGGCGGCGACGGGUAGCCGGCCUGCGAGGGUGGACGGCCACAUAGGGACUGAGAGACGGCACAGACUCGUACGGGAGGCAGCAGUGGGGAAUAUUGCAGAAUGGGCGCAAGGCUGAUGCAGAGACGCUGCGUGGGGGAUGACGGCCUUAGGGUUGUAAACUAAUUUCGCUAGGGACGAAGCUUUUUGUGACGGUACCUAGAUAAGAAGCACCGGCUAACUACGUG